CGAAGAGGCUUCCAUUAGGAGCAGUAAAAGUGUUGUAGUUCUUAAUGCUAAAGGGUGGCGUAUUAACCACCACUUUGAACUACACUGAAGCUUACUUCGAGCUGACUGCCAAACACAAACCAGCAGCAGCAGGGCUGCAGAGAGGAGAACAGGCUUCUUCAUUCUGACUGUUAGAAAAAUCUUACCUUCUUCACCUACUCCUUCCAACAAAUACAACUAAUGCACCAGUGGAGGUUGAGCCGGCAAAAGCUGACGACUGUCCUUAGGCCAUUCAGGUUUGUGACUGAGCUUCUUGGAGGUGAGACAUAUGUCUCAUGUUCAGUGGUUUUACCUGCUUACUGCCACCUGCAUCACACCAUGGAGGUCUCCAAUGAUGACCCAGACUACAUGGUGAAAUUUAAGACUGCCUUUACAAAGAACCUAUUCCAACAUGUAGCUACACUCAACCAUCAGUGGCUCAAGGGGGAGAGGGAGAAGAGGUUUGGAUCAGCCUUGACGUUACUGCAGGAACAGUGUAAAGAUGCCACCACAAAGGAGCCAGCAAAGACAAAGAGCCUCCUCCUCUCUUCAAUGUCUCCAGACUCUGAUUCAGAUGAUUCAGAUGAGGAAGCCCUGUGUAACAGGGCCCUGAGCAGAAUCCACCAUCAGCGAUAAAGACUGCCCACUGCAGUCUAAUACAAUUAUCUAAUACAGUCUAACACAAUUAUCAUUGUUGUUUGUUGAAUCCUAAUGGCAACUGUAGUGUGUAAUCAGGUAUAAACACUUUAUUUACAAGACAAAACAUCUGUUACAGGUCAUAACAGAGUUUAAAUGUGAAGCUGGUCAAAUAACCUUUCAUGUUUCUGCCUUAGUUUUUUAAGAAGAAAAACUGCAAUUUAUGUUGAAAAUGUUAUUAUUAUUAUAAGAGACACUACCAUUUUAAAAAUGUACUUAAAUUAGCAUUUUAUUUUUUUAAAUUGAGUCCCACCCCUACUAAUUAAUUAAUGAAAAGUGUUAUUAAUUAAACAAAAUUUAAAAUAAACACAUUAUUAAAUGAUUUAAAUAAAACAAAUAUGCAU
ensembl:lncRNA